CCUACGGGAGGCAGCAGUGGGGAAUAUUGCACAAUGGGGGAAACCCUGAUGCAGCGACGCCGCGUGAGUGAAGAAGUAUUUCGGUAUGUAAAGCUCUAUCAGCUGGGAAGAAGAAAGACGGUAGAUGACUAAGAAGCACCGGCUAACUACGUGCCAGCAGCCGCGGUAAUACGUAGUGGGCAAGCGUUAUCCGGAUUUACUGGGUGUAAAGGGAGCGUAGACGGCUGUGCAAGUCUGAAGUGAACGCCCAGGACUCAACCCUGGGACUGCUUGGGACACUGUGGAGCUAGAGUGCUGGAGAGGUAAGUGGAAUUCCUAGUGUAGCGGUGAAAUGCGUAGAUAUUAGGCGGAACACCAGUGGCGAAGGCGGCUUACUGGACAGUAACUGACGUUGAGGCUCGAAAGCGUGGGGAGCAAACAGGAUUAGAUACCCCAGUAGUC
rnacentral:rRNA from 1 species